AUUACCUUACUGAGACGUUUCUUGUGACUGUAGCCAGUGUCAUGGAGGAUUUUAUUGGCGUGACAAGGUAGAUCGCCGAGAUCGAGCGUGAAAAACGCUCUGCAUUAGUAGCUCCUGUAGAAUGUUUUCUGGGUUGGCGUAUCCAUGGUCAACAAAACCAAGGUGCAAGACAGCAUGAGAGAUCGUGUAAACGAUGUGAACUCCAAAAGAUAAUCUGGCCAAAUUUAUUGUAACUAGAGAGUGCAAUCGUGCACUGCUUGGGGCCCAUCCCAAUGUCAUCACAUGGCUGUGGUGACUAGUGUAUAUCUGGGAGAAUUUUUCCUCGACUGAUACGGAGUGCAGGUGGAUCGAUUAUGAGAAAUGCGAACAUGUGAAGUUCAAGGCUAGAUGCACUUCACAUUCGGCGUGCGAUCUCAGCGUCUGGGACCUGUCUUGGUUGGAUGAUUAUUCAAGCCUGAUACUACUCGACACACCAAUGUUCAUGUCAAUGUAAUUUUUUCAGAGCUGCACUAUUUACGUGUUGGCGCUUACUUCGGUGUUACUGUUAGCGUGUUUCCCCCGGAUUGUUUCUAUCAUCAUGAUCGUGUGUUCUUGGGCUGAGCGAGCACAUGCACAAGUGUGCAGCUAUAACCCUGUGUAUCUUUGGUUACACUUUGUUCUGCAAUGCAUGUACUUUGUAACAUUAUGUGCUUGCACUGCUUUGUCUGGCCUGCGUAUUUCAGGACUAUUCAGUGCAUUAGACCCAGGUUUGUUUGGUUGCCGGAUGACCUCUUGUUGCGUCGCUCUGUAUUUGUGUUCAUCAAUUUUUGGGCUUGAGAAUUGAGCUGUUGUGUGGUUCCCAAUAUGAAAACAUCAUGCUGGUGCUCUGUGUUUCGAUUAUCGACUGUCGGAGCAGUCAUGCAUUUAUUAGCAGAACGGUCAAUACUGUAGUCUUUUCA